GUCGAACGAGAAAGUGGAGCAUCCAUGAGUAAAGUGGCGUACGGGUGAGUAACACGUGGAUCAUCUACCUUUUAGUGAGGAAUAACCAUGGGAAACCGUGGCUAAUACCGCAUAAGCUCGAGAGAGGAAAGUCGAAAGACGCUGAAAGAGGAGUCCGCGGCCGAUUAGCUAGUUGGCAGGGUAAAAGCCUACCAAGGCAAAGAUCGGUAGCCGGCCUGAGAGGGCACACGGCCACACUGGCACUGAAACACGGGCCAGACUCCUACGGGAGGCAGCAGUGGGGAAUCUUGCACAAUGGGGGAAACCCUGAUGCAGCGACGCCGCGUGAGCGAUGAAGCCCUUCGGGGUGUAAAGCUCUUUCGGCAGGGAAGAUUAUGACGGUACCUGCAGAAGCAGCUGCGGCUAACUACGUGCCAGCAGCCGCGGUAAUACGUAGGCAGCAAGCGUUGUUCGGAGUUACUGGGCGUAAAGGGUGUGUAGGCGGUCUUCUAAGUCUGGUGUGAAAUCUCCCGGCUCAACUGGGAGGGUGCGCCGAAAACUGGAAGGCUAGAGUGCGGGAUGGGGGGAGUGGAAUUCCUGGUGUAGCGGUGAAAUGCGUAGAUAUCAGGAGGAACACCUGUGGUGUAGACGGCUCUCUGGACCGCAACUGACGCUGAGACACGAAAGCGUGGGUAGCAAACAGGAUUAGAUACCCUGGUAGUCCACGCCCUAAACGAUGCAUAUUUGGUGUGGGCCAUUCAUUUGGUCCGUGCCGG
rnacentral:rRNA from 1 species